rnacentral:lncRNA from 1 species
AUGGCCCUCCCUUCUCCUCUCAGCCUCCCGGUAUCCUCUCCUUCAAGGCACUAUUGCUUAGGAUUUGGCCACUUGGAGCAGCAACUCAGAGACAGUGGCUUAAGCCAAGAGAAGUUUGCUUUUCUUGCCCAACAAGAAGUACAGGGCUGGUACAGUGGCUUGAGGAUGUUACCGAGGACCAGCCUCCCCCGUUUAACAAGUGGCUUCCAUCAUCUUGUUUGGAAAAUAGCUAAUUCCACUGGUGGGCUUUACAUCUACACUGCGACAAAAGUUGCAAAAGUCUUUUAUGCUAGGUCACUCAAUACAGCUUUUCUCAGUCCUAAAUAUUGUGCAAGGUAGGAAUGAAAGUCUUAAAUCAGGAACCAACUGUUAAAAGAACUCUGGAUGGGAGAAGACCAUGAAAAGCACAACUCUGACUGAAAACAAAUAUUGACCAGUCAGUGUGAUAUAUAGAAAAAAGCAUGCAGACUUCAGAAAUCAGAAAAAACUGACUUUAAAUCUCUGCCUGUGAACAAGGUUUUGAUCACUCAGAUCAUCUAUUUUCUCCUCUAUAAAGAAGGACUGAAACCUUCGUAAAUACUUCUAAUAAACAUAUAUUACCUAGCUCAAAAGUGAGUGAAGUGAACUAACGAUUAAAAUGAAAAGGUCUGACCACACAAUCUAGCAACCAUCCUUCCUCUUAUUCACCCAAAGAAGAUGAAAACAUGUCCACACAAAAUCCAACACACUGACAUUUAUAGCAUCUUUAUUCAAAAUACCCAAACCUAUAAGCAACCAAGAUGCCUUUCAGUAUGUGAAAGAAUAAAAAAACUGUGAAACAUCUAGACAAUAGACUGCUAUUCAGUACUAAAAAUAAAUGAGCUCUUAUCCCAUGAAAUGACAUGGAGGAACUUAAAGACAUACUUCAUUUUUUUUAUUUUAAAGAGAAUAAUUAAAAGAACAAUAGCAAAUACCAACACCAAUAUAGACAAAAACAAAACAAAGCAAAAACAAUAAAAAUGAUACAGGGUUUCAGAACAAAAUGAUAGGGAUUAACAGUGGUUAUUGUAUUAUAUGUUGUUAUCUUCAACAAAGUUGCUCAAGUUACCAUGUGUAAGAAUACAAGAUUGAUCACAACAAUAUGCAAUACAACAACCAUUGAUGAAUUUUUACCAUCUUGUCUAGUGAAACUCUGUAUUAUUCCUAUUUUUUGUAAUUAUUAUUUUAUUAUUUUUUAAUUCUCUUCAAUGGUUUCAUCAAUAAAGACGUAUUUCAACUGUAUGACUUUCUGAAAUAAGCAAAACUGUGGAUACUAUAAGAAAAAAACCUGUGGAUACUACUUACGUAGUUGCCAGGAGUUAGAGCAGAAAGAGGGAUGAAUCAGCAGAGCAGAAGAUUUUAUUUUUUAGAGUCAUGAAAUUACUCUGUAUGAAAUUAUACCAGUGGGUACAUGCUUUAUGCACUGCCCAAG